AACCAAUUGAACUCUGUAUAAUGACAAAAGAGGGCCAACAAAUAUGGGAAGUUAAUAUAGAAUCAGAUGAAUUCAACACAAACAGUUCAGUAUCUGAAUGGAGGCAG